rnacentral:rRNA from 1 species
GACGAACGCUGGCGGCGUGCUUAACACAUGCAAGUCGAACGGAAAGGCCCUGCUUUUGUGGGGUUCUCGAGUGGCGAACGGGUGAGUAACACGUGAGUAACCUGCCCUUGACUUUGGGAUAACUUCAGGAAACUGCGGCUAAUACCGGCUCGGAGCUCCUCCUGCCUGGUGGGGGUUGGAAAGUUUCGGCGGUUGGGGAUGGACUCGCGGCUUAUCAGCUUGUUGGUGGGGUAGUGGCUUACCAAGGCUUUGACGGGUAGCCGGCCUGAGAGGGUGACCGGCCACAUUGGGACUGAGAUACGGCCCAGACUCCUACGGGAGGCAGCAGUGGGGAAUAUUGCACAAUGGGCGGAAGCCUGAUGCAGCAACGCCGCGUGCGGGAUGACGGCCUUCGGGUUGUAAACCGCUUUCGCCUGUGACGAAGCGUGAGUGACGGUAAUGGGUAAAGAAGCACCGGCUAACUACGUG